GUAUUUCAUUUAUUCUUAAUAAGCCUUGAUGAGCAAAUAACAAAGGCACACAAGCUCUGCUUGCAGAGACGAAAGGAAACUGAAUGUUGUGUUCAGCAAUGUCGAAAUCUGCUAAAACCAUGGCCAUUGAUAUCUAAAAUGGUUAAACAAGAUGAACAAACUACAAGUGGCACUGGACAGUCACAAACUAUGCAGGGUGGAGGACCCAUCACAGGAGACACAGAAAUUGAAAUCAAA